rnacentral:rRNA from 1 species
GGGAUGAGUAGAGCGGCGAACGGGUGAGGAACACGUGAGUAUCUACCUUUUAGUGAAGAAUACCCUCGAGAAAUUGAGGUUAAUACUGCAUACGUCCCUUCGGGGAGAAAGAUGGCUUUAUUGCUGUCGCUGAAAGAUGAGCUUGCGGGCUAUUAGCUAGUUGGUGGGGUAAAGGCCUACCAAGGCGAUGAUGGCUAGCCGGCCUGAGAGGGUGAACGGCCACAUUGGAACUGAGACACGGUCCAGACUCC